GGAAAACGAGUAAAUGGAUUGCAGUACGUAGGAAAGCAGGGAGACAAUCCAGGCUACUACGGGGAAUUAGGGUAUGGGUAGUAGGCGGUAUAGGACAUGACCGCUAGCUGGUGGUACACAUACAACAUACAACACGGUGAGUGGUAAACGUAGGGGAGUGACUGAGGCGUCUAGGACGGAAUGAGAAGGUCUUCUUUGUCCAUAUAACGGGGUGCCGAUCCAGGGAUUCUUGGAAAUAGCAAUGUUCUAGUGGGGGACAUUCAACGACGACUCUGUCCCUGUGAUUGUAGAUACCGGUCGAUCUUUUGACGCCACUUGAAGUAGAUCCCAUCUGUCGGGGUCGGAUUAAAUUGACAGAGGCCGAAUAGAACGAGUUGU
rnacentral:misc_RNA from 1 species